UGAGCAAUCUGCCCUUCUCAUCGGAAUAAGCGUUGGAAACGACGUCUAAUGCCGAAUACGACCUCCUUUCGCAUGAUCGGAGGUGGAAAGCUCCGGCGGAGAAGGAUGAGCUCGCGGCCUAUCAGCUAGUUGGUGUGGGUAAUGGCCCACCAAGGCGACGACGGGUAGCCGGCCUGAGAGGGUGACCGGCCACACGUGGGACUGAGACACGGCCCAGACCUCCGUACGGGGAGCAG
rnacentral:rRNA from 1 species